UGUGGUCGAGUGGUAAGGAGACGGAGCUGAGACACCAACAUGUUUCAGGUUCAAACCACCUGCUGCACGAAACUAAGUCACAAUUAUCCUGGUCACCCAACACGGAUAUGGGCCCAUGCUUUAGGGCCCAUUUGAAUACUCGGAGAGAGGGUCUAUCCGUGGGCUGCACCUCCCCUUGGGGAUUAGUCUGGGCCUCUCCAUGGGCCUGGGAUACCCCCAGGUUAAUCAAAAAAAAAAAA
rnacentral:lncRNA from 1 species